UACAGAGGUCCCGAGCGUUGUUCGGAAUUAUUGGGCGUAAAGGGCGCGUAGGCGGCUUGGCAAGUGGAAGGUGAAAUCCCUCGGCUUAACCGAGGAACUGCCCUCCAAACUGCUUUGCUUGAGGCCGGGAGAGGUAAGUGGAAUUCCCAGUGUAGCGGUGAAAUGCGUAGAUAUUGGGAGGAACACCAGUGGCGAAGGCGGCUUACUGGACCGGUUCUGACGCUGAGGCGCGAAAGCGUGGGGAGCAAACGGG
rnacentral:rRNA from 1 species